AGAAAAGUAAGCUAAGUUAAGCUAGUGGGUUCAUACCCCAUAAAUAGAGGUUUCUCUCUUCUCUA
rnacentral:tRNA from 1 species